UACGGAGGGUGCAAGCGUUGUUCGGAGUUACUGGGCGUAAAGGGUGCGUAGGCGGCUUUUUAAGUUUGGUGUGAAAUCUCCCGGCUCAACUGGGAGGGUGCGCCGAAUACUGAGAGGCUAGAGUGUGGGAGAGGAAAGUGGAAUUCCUGGUGUAGCGGUGAAAUGCGUAGAUAUCAGGAGGAACACCGGUGGUGUAAACGGCUUUCUGGACCAUAACUGACGCUGAGGCACGAAAGCGUGGGUAGCAAACAGG
rnacentral:rRNA from 1 species